rnacentral:lncRNA from 1 species
UUUGGUUCUGUUUCUACUAUACAGGUGCAUCAGUGCUACAAGCCGGCAUGGCUGCUUUCUUUUCUUGUGUACUUUCCUUUCUUUUGUCUUUGCCUGAUUGACAUUGUGUUACUCAUGUUCUGCCCAAUUAGUUUUGCAGGUGCUUAAUCUUGGUGUGGAUUGAGGCAUCACAAUUUUGUUAGGCUAGGGUAUUCAAGGUACGUGCAUUAGGCCCUCGUUUCUUUUACUUAAGUUUUUUUAGAUGUCUAUCAUUUAGUUUGAUGGUGUGCAUGGAUUGUUUGAUGUCACUUGGGUUCAGGGUUGCUAUAUUGGGAAAAAAAGGAUGACGCAUGACACAAUUUAGGUGUACAUUUAUUUCAUAGAUUAGAUAGAGUUGUAUAUUGGUGAUGCGUUAUGACUGGUUUGCUGCAUCUGUAGUAAUAGAAUAGGGCGCACCUCUUCGUCAACCAUCCUUUGGUGCUUCCCACGUUGUCUUUUUUGUUCUUAUCGAUGCUGCAUAGAAGCUGCUGACCUUUCUCUGUUUUCUUUCUUGGUUGGAUUCACAGAUCAGGACACACAUCAUGGUGAGCUCCUUGGUCAUCAGCUGAUCCAUCACCGAGGUAUGUAUUCACCACUGACUUCUGAUCAUAUGGAUUCUCCUUAUAAUCUAGAGAUUACAGUUCUUCAGAAAAACUGUAUUAUCGAGUCGCGAGGUGCCGCUUGCUGUUAGACUAGCUGGAGAUGUGGUCCUCAACUAAUGCAAUGCGAGUAUGUGACGAUGACUUUGGCAUACGGAUGUUGUUGUUCCAACUUGAAUUUCAAAGAUACUUGAGAGGAAUUUCACCAGUUCCUGGGAUAAUUUGAUAUUUUGACGUGCUUUGGUAACUCUAUAUAUGUGUUUAAGUCGUAAGUCUGGUGGUUUCGUAGUUACUAUCCUCCCUCGAGGGCAGUGCUUGUGUUAGACAUUUUUGGGAUGCCACCCUUUGUAUUUCCGUGGGGAAAGAUAGAAGGAACAUAUAUUAAUGGAUUAUGACUGUAGUUAUUAGUUUGCGUGGGUUGGAUGUUUCGCGUAUUUGGUGUUUUUGCUCCUGGAUUGUGAAAUAUUUAUUUUGUUGAAUGUUUUCCCUUAUACUGGAUUAUGUUAUCACAUGAAGCAAAUGCUCAUUCCCCCCAUUUUUCUUGUAUUAUAUGUGUCCUUCCUUUUAGGCUUCAGGCGUUGCAAGCCAGACAUGAGUAUCUUGUUCAUUUGCACUGCUAAUUUUAUGAUUUUCUACUACAGAUGGAAAAUUUAUUCUCUAGGGGAUUGACGAACCAUUAAUCUAAUAGAACUGAUACAUGUAUAUGUAAGUAGAAUUGUGAAACUUGGAGCAAAGCUUGGCUGCUUGCAGCACUCUGUUUACCUUCUGUUGACUCUCCAUUUCAUUCUGCUACAGUUAAAUUCUGCCAUCCAAUAAAUGUGUCUUUGUUUCAGAAAAUAAGCAGUGCAUCAUACCAUAUUGUAGCACAUUUACCUAUAGCUCAUUGUCUAUGCCAUUCUUAUUAUGUUAUAAAGGGAAAUAAUCAACUAUUAGAUGACCUAGAGUAUGUAUUCUGGACACAAUCUACCCGUGUAGAUCUUUUUAUGUUGAGUUAUAAAUCAAUUGCCUGAUUUUAUUGUUCUUUUCACCCUUGAUGUAUAAAGGAUAUUUAACUUGUAAGAUUUCUAAGAUAUGCCAUUAGUAACGAGAUUGUUUGCUUUGCAUGCAUAUUGCUCAGUUGCACACUAAGGGAAAGAAAUUAGUUUUGUUUCUGAAAUUCUUCCAUUUUGUAAUAGGUUUUAAAUUUUAAAUCAAAGUUCCGUCAAGCAAAUAUAUUACUAAUGUGCCGAUUGCUUGCUUAGUAAUAAGUGUUUUUCAAUAGAAUGGCCCUUGUGACCAGAACUGAAAUUAUUUAGUUGUUACAUUCUCAUAUAGGCUCUGUUUCAAAUAGUAUAAGAAUGAUAUGCACUGUGUUUGGCAGGAUGUGUUGCCAGCAAUGUAAGUCGCCAUCAUGAGACCUGGCUUCUCCCCCAGCCUUCUCUUCUUGUUGACAAGGCUCGACGCUGCGCCUCCUUGCGACCCCUGUGGCGAUGCACGGCGCUGCUACUCCCCUAGGACUCAUCUAGAUGGUUUUUUCCCUAAAUUUUUCACAUCCUUCAGAUAAACUUUUCUUACUGAUUUUUUUUACUGUUUGUUGGUAACUGAUGUUUUAAAGUUGAAGCAGCCAAUGUUUUACAGAUCGAUAUGUACCCUCUGUACUGAAUAAAUGGGUGUCUCAAUAGAUGGAUUGGGUCAAAGUAUGUAUAUAUACCACACUUGAGGUCAGUUGUGUUUUCUCAGGUUUGAAUGAUGACUGUUUUCAGAAACUUCUUCCGAAUCUAGGUCAUAGGCUGCGACUGAAGAUGCAACAACAUACCUCAUUCUGCUAUGAUGUUAGCUUCCUGCUUUAGUUACCAGGCAAAAUUUCUUGCGCUUUGUGCCUUCGUGUUUCUCGUUCACAGCUGAAUGAUGAUUGGGGAAUUCCUUUUAAAUGUGGUUAACAAUAAGGAUGCAAUCGCCUAUAAUUAGCUUGCUUUUCUAUUGCUAAGUAACUUUCUUAUGCCAUCAUUUUCCGAGUAUUUUUAUGUUGCAGGUAUCUUGUCCAGAGCCAAUGGAGACAAGCAACACCAUGCUGCUGCUAUAUCUUAAUGGUCUUUCUUUCACAAUAGUGAUGUACUUUUUAUACGUUAGGCAGUGGUAACCUUCCUUCUUUUGAUGAUGUUAUACUACUUAGUUUUGGCAUACACCAAUGUACCAGCUUACUUCUGUUUCACUUAUUUUGCACUUAGCCGAGCUUGUUACUUUGAAUCUCAUGCAAUACCAUUACAUAGUA